rnacentral:rRNA from 1 species
UAGCAUAUCAAUAAGCGGAGGAAAAGAAACUAACAAGGAUUCCCCUAGUAACUGCGAGUGAAGCGGGAAAAGCUCAAAUUUAAAAUCUGGCGGUCUCUUGGCUGUCCGAGUUGUAAUCUAGAGAAGUGUUAUCCGCGCUGGACCGUGUACAAGUCUCCUGGAAUGGAGCAUCAUAGAGGGUGAGAAUCCCGUCUUUGACAUGGACUGCCAGGGCUUUGUGAUGCGCUCUCAAAGAGUCGAGUUGUUUGGGAAUGCAGCUCAAAAUGGGUGGUAAAUUCCAUCUAAAGCUAAAUAUUGGCGAGAGACCGAUAGCGAACAAGUACCGUGAGGGAAAGAUGAAAAGAACUUUGGAAAGAGAGUUAAACAGUACGUGAAAUUGCUGAAAGGGAAACGCUUGAAGUCAGUCGCGUCGUCCAGGGAUCAACCUUGCUUUUGCCUGGUGCACUUCCUGGUUUGACGGGUCAGCAUCAAUUUUGAUCAUUGGAAAAAGGCUUAGGGAAUGUGGCAUCUUUGGAUGUGUUAUAGCCCUUGGUCACAUACAAUGGUUGGGAUUGAGGAACUCAGCACGCCGCAAGGCCGGGUUUUAAACCACGUACGUGCUUAGGAUGCUGGCAAUAUGGCUUUAAUCGACCCGUCUUGAAACACGGACCAAGGAGUCUAACAUGCCUGCGAGUGUUUGGGUGGAAAACCCGAGCGCGUAAUGAAAGUGAAAAGUUGAGAUCCCUGUCGUGGGGAGCAUCGACGCCCGGACCAGACCUUUUGUGACGGUUCCGCGGUAGAGCAUGUAUGUUGGGACCCGAAAGAUGGUGAACUAUGCCUGAAUAGGGUGAAUCCAGAGGAAACUCUGGUGGAGGCUCGUAGCGAUUCUGACGUGCAAAUCGAUCGUCAAAUUUGGGUAUAGGGGCGAAAGACUAAUCGAACCAU